UAGAGGCGAUGAUGUUGAUAACUACCUAUUUUCUGAGGGAAAAUCUUUUCCUUCGGUGAUUAUAGAACACCAAUGGAUCCUUCUGAGCCUCG